CACCUGUCUCAGAUUAGCCAUGCAUGUGUAAGUAUAAAUAUUUGACUUUGAAACUGCGAAUGGCUCAUUAUAUCAGUUAUAGUUUAUUUGAUGAAAAGUACUACUUGGAUAACCGUAGUAAUUCUAGAGCUAAUACAUGAUAAAAUCCUCGACUUUGAAGAGGUGUAUUUAUUAGAAUGAAACCAAGAGACUUCGGUCUAUUUGUGAGUAAUAAUAACUAAUCGUAUCGCAUGCUUAGGUAGCGAUAUGUCUUUCAAGUUUCUGCCCUAUCAGCUUUGGAUGGUAGUGUAUUGGACUACCAUGGCAGUAACGGGUAACGAAGAAUUUGGGUUCGAUUUCGGAGAGGGAGCCUGAGAGAUGGCUACCACAUCCAAGGAAGGCAGCAGGCGCGUAAAUUACCCAAUCCUGACAUAGGGAGGUAGUGACAAUAAAUCACAAUGCGGAACUAUUAGUUUUGCAAUUGGAUUGAGAACAAUGUACAAAUGUUAUCGAUAAACAAUUGGAGGGCAAGUCUGGUGCCAGCAGCCGCGGUAAUUCCAGCUCCAAUAGCGUAUAUUAACGUUGUUGCAG
rnacentral:rRNA from 1 species